rnacentral:snoRNA from 12 species
CUGCAAGCCUCCAGCGUGCCUGGGCCUGUGGUGACCCAGUGCAUUCCUAUAGUGCUUGCUAGAACAAUUUGGAACGGUUUGAGGCCUUGCUCUGCUCCACCUGGAACAAGGUUAUAGAAAUUUCAGACAGUC